UUAAAGUCGAAGAUGGGGAGUUCCCGGGAGAUUUUGGGCUCAGAGAGGAAGGUUCGUGGCUGGAAAACCUUCUGUCCGAAUACUUGGGAUGUAGCCCCGGAGAAGUCAGGCUGAAAUAAUAGUAGGUCUGGACGGGUAGGCCCGUUAUAGCCCCAUAAGUUGCCACCCUUAGCACAUUUUUUUGGGUGGAAACAAGGUGGUACCGCGGAACAAAACUUCCGUCCUUGUC
rnacentral:ncRNA from 1 species